rnacentral:rRNA from 1 species
GCACGGAGUUAGCCGGUGCUUGCUAAGGAGGUACCGUCAAGCCGUUGGAUAUUAGCCAACGUUUUUUCGUCCCUCCCCACAGAGCUUUACGACCCGAAGGCCUUCAUCACUCACGCGGCGUGGCUGGGUCAGGCUUGCGCCCAUUGCCCAAUAUUCCCCACUGCUGCCUCCCGUAGGAGUCUGGGCCGUGUCUCAGUCCCAGUGUGGCUGAUCAUCCUCUCAGACCAGCUACCCGUCUAAGCCUUGGUGAGCCAUUACCUCACCAACUAGCUGAUGGGCCGCGGGCUCCUCUUUUGGCGCCAACUUUCAUGAAGAGGUCGGCUUUCCCGACGUGAUCCGAAGACCUCGCCGUCAAAUGCGGUAUUAGCAAUCCUUUCGGACUGUUAUCCCCCACCAAAAGAUAGAUUACCCACGUGUUACUCACCCGUCCGCCACUUUACUAAGAGAGCCGAAGCCCUCUAUUCUCGUGCGACUUGCAUGUGUUAGGCCCGCCGCUAACGUUCGCU